rnacentral:rRNA from 2 species
GGAUGCCGAUCAUACCAGCACUAAAGCACCGGAUCCCAUCAGAACUCCGAAGUUAAGCGUGCUUGGGCGAGAGUAGUACUAGGAUAGGUGACCUCCUGGGAAGUCCUCGUGUUGCAUUCCC